UGUAAUCACCUAUCCCUCUCAUCCAUAGUCUAUAGGCUCUCACUCUCACUCUCACUCUCACUCACACUCUCAAUCUCUCUCUCUCUCUCUCUCUCUCUCUUUCUGGAAUGUCUCUCUCAGUCUCUCGAAUUCUCUCUUCUUCAAUCACACUCGCCGGCGUCUCGUCGUGGUUCGUAUGUCGCUUCCUUCCCUUGGCUCGUCGUCGCCGGCGCAGAAGCAACGCAACCAGCAGCUGGCCCUCGCCGUCUUCUUCCUUCGUCGCCUUCCCUGGGCUCGUCCUCGCUCGUCAUCUUUUGGCUUCGGGGCCUCGCUGUCGCUUCCUUCUUGCCGGUCUCGUGCCGAGUCUCCGUGGAUCCUGGUGGCAGCAAAAGACAACAGAAGAUAUAAUGGAUAAUGACUUGGGAUUAAAAAGAUCAGAACAGAUAAGGUUAAUAUAGCAUAUAUAACGAGAUUUAUAAAUUAGUUGAAUUUAUGUUUUGCUAAGUUGAUUUUAGUAUUGGAUUGUUUUAGUUAGUUUGUUGGCCUCAAAGAGAGCUCCAGAGCUUCCAAAAAUAUUUAAAAAAUUACCCCAGUUUAUUUUGUUGUAUUUACCAAUGAGCAACAAUAGUUCUUAAAAUCAUUUUUAAACCCCAAACUUAAUUAAAUCAGUUAAUUGCACCGAAAUCGUUGUGUGAAUCACGACGUCAAAAACACGGACAUCUUUUGCCCUCAUCCUUGCCCCAAAUCCAAAAACGAACAUUUUUUUUUGCUUAUUUUUAUGACUCUAUGAAUGCAACAAUGCUUUGGCUAUUAGAGUGUCUUAGUUUCUUAAAUUAUAUCCAAAUAUAAGAGCAAUCACCUCACUCUUCUGUCUAAGACGGCUUCCACCCUAGCAGCGGUAGGUGGCGAUAUUACACUGGUGAAGAGGAAUCCGAUGAAUCAAGGUUUUUUAUACAUUAUACAUGGAUAGUAGUGAGGAACUUAGCUAUGAAGAAGAAGAGGAGGUUUUAUUUUGGGAUGAUGUAAUUCUUGAAGAUGACAACAUUGACAAGGAAGAUUAUGAGUUUGAAGACAAGGAUGAACAUGCAUUAGAAGAAAUUGUGUGCAUCGAAAUAGUGUAUGACAUCGAGUAGGUUGAAGAGCAAGAAUUGUUCUUAAAUGAAGUCAUUGAAAGCUCAUAUACAUAUAAGGAUGAUGUCUAUGAAAAUGAACCUGGUUUGAUGGAAAGGGAAAUUUCUAUAUAGGGUGAUUCUGGAGAUGUAACAGUGUUAGAGCAAGAAGUAAAUUUAGAUGAACGCCGCUGCAUUAUGUUGAAGUAGCAAAUCCUGGACACUAGUUUCGACAACUUGACAACACAUGAUUUUGUGAAGCACACUUUCUGUGAUUUGGAUUUGGCUUUCGAGUUUUAUAACAAAUAUGCAAAGUCUCGGGGUUUUUAUGCUAGGAAAAGCAAAAGUAGAUGGUUAAAGAGCGGCCAACUCAUGAUGAAAACGUUUGAUACCGAGAGGGAGUCGGAGAGAAAAAGUAUUAUAGUAGGGAGAAUCAUAAGCAAGAGGGCGGCUGCAAUGCUCGUGUGCAGUUACAAUCCCAUGUUGAUAGUUUCAGAUGGGUUGUUACCCCUUUUUGUGAUCAACACAACCACAAAUAUCUUGAUCCUCGGAAUACUAGAAUGCUGCAUAGCCAUAGGAAAGUUCCUGAUGUAGAUAUGGCUCAUAUCAAAAACUUCAGGGAUGGCGGCUUAGGACCUAAAAUUUUUGGGCUACUGGCAAGUCAGUCAAAAGAUUAUGAAAAUGUUGGGUAUGGGUUACGAGACAUCCACAAUAAAAUUUCAAAACAGAGGCGCCAAAGCCUUGGUGAUGCUGCCACACAGUUCUUGCGAUGUUUGAAAAAAUGAAGGACCCAACUCUUUUCUAUAGGCACUUGAAGGACAAUAAAAACCAAUUGACAAAUCUAUUUUGGUGUGAUGAGUGAAGUAGGGAAGAGUAAAAGAUUUUUGGAGAUGUUAUUGCAUUUGAUGCAACACAUAAAAAUAAUCGCUACUAUUGCCCUGUCGUUGUAUUUUUCGGGGUAAAUCAUCACAACCAGUCGAUUGUGACACUAGAUACCACUAAUCUUAUUGGACGGCAUUUUAGAAGAGUUCAAUGUUUUUGGUAAUAUUUGAUUGGAUUAUUUUCCUUCACAAACUCAUUUUAAUUUGCACUUCUUGCCCUAGGAUAGUUUAAUGUAUUGUUUGUUUUAUAAUUUUUGGCUGAAGUGCUUGUUCGUAUAGAGAAUUUUGAGGCAAACGGGAAAGACCUAUCAAAACCUGUGUCCAAAAGAACCAAUCAGCUACACAAUAUAAUAUUAAAUGGCAAUAUUUAACCUUUAAUUUGUAUUUCUUAGUAAGAAAGUUUUUUCAAGGAUCCUUAGUUGCAUGGUAAUAAGACUGUGGGUACA